GCCUGGCUGGCUCAGUCAGUAGAGCUUGCGACUCUUCAUCUUGGGGUUGUGAGUUCAAGCCCCAUGUUAGGCA
rnacentral:tRNA from 1 species